GGAAGGCAUUAUUACUGAAAUAAGAAUACAGCAUGGAACAAAGCAGAUUGGUUUCAUGGCUGUUAUGUUCACUUUUUCUGUUGAUGAUGGAGAUUUUUGCUACUGUUCUUUCUCCUUCUGGCAUAAACUAUGAAGUUCUAGCUUUGAUGGCGAUAAAGAAUGAAUUGAAUGAUCCUCACAGUGUCUUGGAGUAUUGGGAUAGUAAUUCUGUUGAUCCUUGCAGCUGAAGGAUGAUUACUUGUAACCUUGAUGGCUCUGUUUCAGUAUUGGGAAUGCCUAGUCAGAACUUGUCUGGUACUCUAUCUCCUUGAGUUGGAAACCUUACUAACUUACAAUCUGUGUUGCUUCAGAACAAUGCAAUUUCCGGUCAGAUUCCUACAGCAAUUGGAAGCCUAGAAAAGCUUCAGACACUUGAUCUCUCC